AUUGACAAAUCUAUCUCAUAACUUUAUUGUUCUUCCAUUUUGUCAUAUCGGUGGGACAAAAAAAAAAAAAAAAAAACAGGCUUUGAACAAUUGGCUUAGGAUUCAAGAGGAACAAGAAAAUUCGUUUUGUUUUCGAGUUUUUGGAACUGUUAUAAACCCAUUCUUCAUCCCAUUGGUUUCAUCGUUUUAGGGGGUUGGGACUGAAAAGUAGUGA